rnacentral:rRNA from 1 species
UACGUAGGGGGCUAGCGUUGUCCGGAAUCAUUGGGCGUAAAGAGCGUGUAGGCGGCCCGAUAAGUCCGCUGUGAAAGUCCAGGGCUCAACCCUGGGAUGCCGGUGGAUACUGUCGGGCUCGAGUCCGGAAGAGGAGUGUGGAAUUCCGUGGUGUAGCGGUGAAAUGCGCAGAUAUCAGGAGGAACACCGAUGGCGAAGGCAGCCCCCUGGGCUGAGAUUGACGCUCAGGCACGAAAGCGUGGGGAGCAAACAGG